rnacentral:rRNA from 1 species
AUUGAACGCUGGCGGCAGGCUUAACACAUGCAAGUCGAGCGAGCGGCGGACGGGUGAGUAAUGUCUGGGAAACUGCCUGAUGGAGGAGGAUAACUACUGGAAACGGUAGCUAAUACCGCAUCCCAUCAGAUGUGCCCAGAUGGGAUUAGCUAGUAGGUGGGGUCAUGGCUCACCUAGGCGACGAUCCCUAGCUGGUCUGAGAGGAUGACCAGCCACACUGGAACGGAGAAACGGACCAGACUACUACGGGAGGCAGCAGUGGGGAAUAUUGCACAAUGGGCGCAAGCCUGAUGCAGCGAUGCCGCGUGUGGGAAGAAGGCCUGCGGGUUGGAAAGCACUUGCAGCGAGGAGGCGUUACUCGCAGAAGAAGCACCGGCUAACUCCGUGCCAGCAGCCGCGGUAAUUC